rnacentral:rRNA from 1 species
UACGUAGGGUGCAAGCGUUAAUCGGAAUUACUGGGCGUAAAGCGUGCGCAGGCGGUUUUGUAAGUCUGACGUGAAAGCCCCGGGCUCAACCUGGGAAUUGCGUUGGAGACUGCAAGGCUUGAAUCUGGCAGAGGGGGCUAGAAUUCCACGUGUAGCAGUGAAAUGCGUAGAGAUGUGGAGGAACACCGAUGGCGAAGGCAGCCCCCUGGGUCAAGAUUGACGCUCAUGCACGAAAGCGUGGGGAGCAAACAGG